rnacentral:misc_RNA from 1 species
AGCACAAGUGAGGAUUCCACUUCUAGCUCCAAGUCUCCACCGCAACUUCCACCUCUACAUCCACGAUCCAGGACUUCUCAUAAUAAUCUAGCUUCGUUGCCAUCUCCGCAGGAAACAUUUUCACCUUGGCGAUCGUUCUCGGUGGCUGAUUUACAGCAAUGUGCAACAACAUUUGACAAAACAGAUCACUAACUUGAUGUUUAAUGUACCCCUUUAUUUUUCAUUCUCGAUGAAGUUUCCAUUCCAGUUAUCUC